GUUUUCCUUAGUUAGCUUUCAAGGAAGAAGGUUUUAGUGAGGUGUCAGUGGCAACGAGAGAACCCAGCAUACCAACACACCCUCACUGGACGGGCUCUUUCCAGAAAGUGCACACAGUGGGAAGACCCUGGGGUUAGCUCAGACUUAAUGUUAUUCAAGGACUAGAAAGAAGGCCAAUGUGUUGGGAGCUGAGAACAAAAGGGAGUGUGGUAGGAGAUGAGGUCAGAGUGAGCGAGGGCCCCGAUCUUGCAGUACUGUAUUGCUCCACAGAGGAGUGUUGUUUAGGCAUUCAAACUCCUUCACACAAACAAACCAAGCAAAUAUUUUAGGCCUGAAUUGUUGGGUGCUGAUGAUACAGAAAUGAAUUAGACAAAGUCUUCAUUGUCAAGAAACUCAAACUCUAACAAGAAACAAAGACAAGUGAGCAGGCAGCUGCAUCACAGAGCAGCAGUACUGAUUCAAGCAGAAAGUGUAAAGUACAACUGGGCACAUGGGAGCCUACAUGCUUGGCUGGUUACUAUGCAGAUGGCGGAAGGAGCCACCUUUGAAAACAAGGAGCAGCUCAGAGCACCCUGAGGAGCAGCAAGCAGAGGCAGCUAAGGAAGACAAGCAUUACAGAGGCAGACUCAAGAGGAUCUCUGUGAGUUUGAAGCCAGCCUAGUCUACAUAGCAAGUUCCAAGAUAGCCGAGACUACAUGGACAGAUCCCCUUGGCACAAAAAAAAAAAAAAGAAGGA
rnacentral:sRNA from 1 species